rnacentral:rRNA from 1 species
GCCUACGGGGGGCAGCAGUGAGGAAUAUUGGUCAAUGGGCGGAAGCCUGAACCAGCCAAGUCGCGUGAGGGAAUAAGGCCCUACGGGUCGUAAACCUCUUUUGCCGGGGAGCAGAGUGCCGCACGUGUGCGGUUUGGAGAGUACCCGGAGAAAAAGCAUCGGCUAACUCCGUGCCAGCAGCCGCGGUAAUACGGAGGAUGCGAGCGUUAUCCGGAUUUAUUGGGUUUAAAGGGUGCGUAGGCGGACGCUUAAGUCAGCGGUAAAAUUGCGGGGCUCAACCUCGUCGAGCCGUUGAAACUGGGUGC